CCAGAGAACUUAGCAGAGAUGCUUUGGUGCCUUCGGGAACUCUGAGACAGGUGCUGCAUGGCUGUCGUCAGCUCGUGUUGUGAAAUGUUGGGUUAAGUCCCGCAACGAGCGCAACCCUUAUCCUUUGUUGCCAGCGGCUCGGCCGGGAACUCAAAGGAGACUGCCGGUGAUAAACCGGAGGAAGGUGGGGAUGACGUCAAGUCAUCAUGGCCCUUACGGCCAGGGCUACACACGUGCUACAAUGGCGCAUACAAAGAGAAGCGACCUCGCGAGAGCAAGCGGACCUCAUAAAGUGCGUCGUAGUCCGGAUUGGAGUCUGCAACUCGACUCCAUGAAGUCGGAAUCGCUAGUAAUCGUAGAUCAGAAUGCUACGGUGAAUACGUUCCCGGGCCUUGUACACACCGCCCGUCACACUAUGGGAGUGGGUUGCAAAAGAAGUAGGUAGCUUAACCUUCGGGAGGGCGCUUACCACUUUGUGAUUCAUGACUGGGGUGAAGUCGUAACAAGGUAAGCGUAGCGAG
rnacentral:rRNA from 1 species